rnacentral:rRNA from 1 species
UACGUAGGAUGCUAGCGUUGUCCGGAUUUACUGGGCGUAAAGCGCGCGCAGGCGGCACUGUAAGUAAGGUGUGAAAUCUCUCUGCUCAACGGGGAGGGUGCACUUUAGACUGCAGAGCUAGAGGACGGUAGAGGGGGGUGGAAUUGCUGGUGUAGCGGUGAAAUGCGUAGAGAUCAGCAGGAACACCCGUGGCGAACGGCGGCCCCCUGGGCCG